UACAGAGGGUGCAAGCGUUACUCGGAAUUACUGGGCGUAAAGCGUGCGUAGACGGUUAUGUAAGUCAGAUGUGAAAGCCCAGGGCUCAACCUUGGAAUUGCAUUUGAGACUGCAUAGCUAGGGUGCGGAAGAGGGAAGCGGAAUUUCCGGUGUAGCGGUGAAAUGCGCAGAUAUCGGGAGGAACACCGGUGGCGAAGGCGGUUCUCUGGGCCUUACCUGACGCUGAGGAGCGAAAGCGUGGGGAGCGAACAGG
rnacentral:rRNA from 1 species